GACAGAGGUCUCGAGCGUUAGGCGGAAUCACUGGGCUUAAAGCGUGUGUAGGCGGACUUGUAAGUACCUUGUGAAAUCCCACGGCUCAACCGUGGAACUGCUUGGUAUACUGCUUGUCUUGGGCCGUCUAGGGGUUACCGGAACAAACGGUGGAGCGGUGAAAUGCGUAGAUAUCGUUUGGAACGCCAAUGGUGAAAACAGGUAACUGGGGAUGUGCCGACGCUGAGACACGAAAGCCAGGGGAGCGAACGGG
rnacentral:rRNA from 1 species